GGUGGUUCUCAGGUGAUGCACCCCAGAUGUGGUCUCACUCCUCUAUGGUUCCGGGGUGCAUCACCUGAGAACUGCC
rfam:Myotis brandtii contig176281, whole genome shotgun sequence.